rnacentral:rRNA from 1 species
GACGAACCAUGCAAACGUUAUUCGGAAUCACUGGGCUUACAGGGUGCGUAGGCGGCUUGUCAAGUAGGGUGUGAAAGCCCCCGGCUCAACCGGGGAAUUGCGCUCUAAACUGUCGAGCUGGAGUGAGAUAGGGGUGUGUGGAACUUCCGGUGGAGCGGUGAAAUGUGUUGAUAUCGGAAGGAACGCCGGUAGCGAAAGCGACACACUGGGUCUUUACUGACGCUGAGGCACGAAAGCCAGGGGAGCGAACGGGG